AUUGAACGCUGGCGGCAGGCCUAACACAUGCAAGUCGAACGAGUGGCGGACGGGUGAGUAAUGUCUGGGAAACUGCCUGAUGGAGGGGGAUAACUACUGGAAACGGGAGCUAAUACCGCAUACCAUCAGAUGUGCCCAGAGGGGAUUGGCUAGUUGGUGGGGUAACGGCUAACCACGGCGACGAUCCCUAGCGGGUCUGAGAGGAUGACCAGCCACACUGGAACUGAGACACGGGCCAGACUCCUACGUGAGGCAGCAGUGGGGAUUAUUGCACAAUGGGCGCAAGCCUGAUGCAGCCAUGCCGCGUGUAUGAAGAAGGCCUCCGGGUUGUAAAGUACUUUCAGCGGGGAGGCGUUACCCGCAGAAGAAGCACCGGCUAACUCCGUGCCAGCAGCCGCGGUAAUAC
rnacentral:rRNA from 1 species